AAGUCUGGAAAAAGACGUGAGUGGUGUAUCAGCCUAUAUUUUGACUCUGGUGGGCUAUAGUAGAAGGCAGAAGGAUGCCAGCAACCUGUGUUAAAACUAACAGGAGGUGUUUUUUUUUUUCCUGUGGAAUGAAGAAGGUGUGGUUUGGAGAGUGUGGGCGGAGCUACAACAUGUUUUUAUAAGAGUAGUAGGACUCGGUAGAUUCAUCCUGCGCUGUUAAACAAUCUUUUGCCUUGUCUCAUUCUGUAAGCUGACUGUAUGGACUAUAUCACACUAUUUCUGGACUUGUGCAUUUAUUUUUGCCUUCAUACUGGAAAUCUACAUCUUUAUGGAGAUUUUUGUGGAGUGAUGCGUUUGAAUCAGUGAUGAUUUGGGGUAUCUGGUUUGUCACAUGUUGGAAUCAUAGCGGAUCAAAAACCUUUAAUAUUUGAAGACGACUGAAAGAUACUCAUGAGGUUUCCCGGAAGAGCAGAUGAAGGUCAAUUCCAGGAAAUUUUGUUAUGGUGAAGAGGUCACUAUGAAGACACUGUUUUGCUGGUGUGGCCGAACUGACCAAUCAGAUCUCAGCAGUGACAGAGCGGGUGAAGGGAGUUUCCCAAGUUGGUUAUUUAACCUAAAGAACAACUAUGAUGUCACUCUGAUGUCAUUGUGAUCAUGCACAUGCUCCGUAUUUACAAACAAGAGUAAGACGGGAUAAAGAACGAAGGAUUUUUCCAGUGACAGUUGUUUAAUGUUCUGAGGUUAGGGUAUGAUGAGGGAUUGUUUUGUUGCUAUGUUGUUUUUUUUUUUUUUUCUUUUAGAGGGUCAGGCUGUGUCUUAUAAGCAGGAAUUUAGGAAUUUGUCCAGCAGAGUGUGGUUUGAGUUACUUAUUAUUUAUUUUCUGAUCCAAACACACAGUCCUGCCACUUCAUGGUUUUCCUGUUUAUGUGGACAGAACGUAUCAUAAGCCAAAGUUCGUUUCCUGACUUCUCAACUUCCCAAACUCACGUCUUCUUUCUGUCGUUCUUUCUGUCUUUCUUUCUGUCUUUAUUUCUUUCUGAGCUGCAGGAACACUGCGUGCUAUCACUGGUAAGACCUACGAGGUUUUGUUGAAGAGGAAAUGCUUUGAUCUGGACCUUCAAAUUCUUGUGGUUUGGCUGUUCCUUCUUGUGCGUCUAGCUGUUACAGGGGCACGUUUGGGUCAAUUAGAAGUGGAGCUGAUAAAUCACAGACUGUAUUUUCCAUUUCAAAUCACUGUCAGAUUUGAAAAAUCUUUUCAGUUUUCUCUUUGCCUUAUUGAUCUAAAAAAAAACUUGAAAUAAGAUAAAAAAUACAGAAUUUAAAUUUUUAAUAGAGCAAAACAAGUUGCUAAUUAUGUCUUACAUUAUUUUCACUGCUUUUCUGCUUCAAGGUCUGACACUACAAGUUUAUCUUCUUUUAGAGGCUGAAUGUGUAAUUAAUCAUUCUUGGAGUGGCUGUGAAUCAUUGUGUGUUUGUGUGUGCGUGUGUUCAUCCCUGUACGAUGCCCUUAGCCCUGAACAGUAAGAGUUUAUGUGCUGAGGUUCAAGUAUCAGCACAUGGUCUCUUACUUGUAGGGAAAAGAGUCUCUAUCAACCUCUCAUCACUUUGUUUCAAAAUGUUCACUUUGUUUUGAAAGAUCAACAUGUCACAAGUGUGCGGAUGUCACAAGUUUAGCAUUCAUGAGGCAACAUGUUUUAGUAUAGAUUAGUUCAUUUUUGGGACUUUCAUAAGUUUAUCAUGCAAAAGGCAACAAUAUUCAGGAAGUUUCAAAAGCUAGAAAAUGAUUUAAUAAAAUGCAGAGGAAUAGAGGAAAAAAUAUUCUUAUUCAAAUGUAUAUGUAGGAAGUGGCUUUAUUGUUGUCUGCUAAAUUAUAAAAAAAUUAAUGAUCACGGUUUUGAUGGAUUAAUCUUUUUUUCUUUUCUUUUUUUUAACUUAGACCCAUGUUUUAGCAUAAAAAGGCAACAAUGUUCGGUAAGUUUCAGCAACUAGAAAAUAAUUUUAAAAAAAAAUUCAGAACAAUAUAGAUAUUUGAAAUCAAAUGUAUGCAUAGGAAGUGGCUUUAUUGUUUAUAUAUAUAUAUAUAUAUAUAUUUUUUUUUUUUUGAUCCAGAAAUGCUUAAAAUUUUAGAUAACCCUGGGCAAAUAUUUGAAGAAUAGCAGAAGAAUAUAGGAUUUUUUAAAUCAAAUUUAUGUAUAAGAAGUGGUUUUAUUGUUGUCUGAUAAACAUGAAAAUAUAAUUAUUCUUUUUUUUUGUUGUUGUUUGUUUGUUUUUACCUUGGACACAUGAUCCAAAAAUUCUUAAAAAUUUAGAUAACCCUGGGCAAAAAUAUUUAAUUUAAUUUAAUUUAAUUUAAUUUUAAAAAUUUAAAUAAAAAAUGUCAAUAUUUAGGACAGGCACAAGUUUAGCUGACAAAAGGUAACUACAUUCUAUAAGGUUCAGCAGCUAUAGAUAAUAAUUUUCAAAAAUGCAGAAGAAUAUAGAAAAUAUUUUUAAAUCAAACGUAGGUAUAGGAAGUGGCUUUUUUGUUGUUGUUGUUUUUGCAACCUGGACUUCUGAUCCAGAAAUGCUUAAAAUUUUAGAAAACCCUGUGCAAAGAUUUGAAGAAUAGCAGAUGAAUAUAGGAUUUUUUAAAUAAAAUUGAUGUAUAAGAAAUGGCUUUAUUGUUGUCUGAUAAACGUAAAAAUGUAAUUAUUCUUUUUUUGUUGUUGUUUGUUUGUUUUUACCUUGGACACAUGAUCCAAAAGUUCUUAUAAAUUUAGAUAACCCUGGGCAAAAAUAUUUAAUUUAAUAUAAUUUAAUUUAAUUUAAAAAAUGUAAAUAAAAGAUCUCAAUAUUUAGGACAGGCACAAGUUUAGCUUACAAAAGGCAAUUACAUUCUAUAAGGUUCAGCAGCUCUAGAUAAUAAUUUUCAAAAAUGCAAAUAAAUAUAGAAAAUAUUUUAAUUAAAUCAAAUUUAUGUAUAGGAAGUGGCUUUAUUGUUGUUUUUGUUUUGUUUUUUUUGUAACCUGAACUCGUGAUCCAAAAAUGCUUAGAAGGAUGCCAGCAACCUGUGUUAAAACUAAAGACAACCCUGGCUAAAAAAUAUUUAAUCAUUAAAAACUAGCAUCAUUUAAAAUAUUAAAACCAAAACAGGGGACAUUGUCUUUAGAUGUUGAGAUUUUAUUUACUUAAAUUUUCAGAUGCACAUUUUUAAAUAUAAAUUAUAAAGUCUUUCUAUUACAUUAACAGUAUCAUACACAACACCCGCCCACAGAUUAUUUUCUGCAACUACAAACUUUCUCCUCCAGAGGGCGAUGUGUGACUGUUAAACUGGAAUAUGAUUUAACAUUUGGGCCAUAUUCUAUUGCACACCAGUGAAAAUUGCUGCAGCUCAAAAUACAUUUAAACAAGACAAUGCUAAUUACUCACUGAAUUCAGUGAAACACCUGCCCUGCUGUCUCAGAUGUCACUACAAGCGGUAAAAAGAAAAUGCAUGGCUUUCAUCAGUUACACAUUAAACAUAUUCUGUCACUCUACCCUAAUUGAAACUGCUUCUCCCUGUUCCACAGGAAAUUGUCUGGAAAAAAAGGAGCAAUCACUGGCACUCCACAUUAGAAUGAAUCACUUGGCCAUCAGGGAACAAACUGAAUCAUCAGGAAAACAUUAGGAGAGAAAUAAUUGUAUAUUCGGGUACA